UAGGGAAUCUUCCACAAUGGACGCAAGUCUGAUGGAGCAACGCCGCGUGAGUGAAGAAGGUUUUCGGACCGUAAAGCUCUGUUGUUGGUGAAGAAGGAUAGAGGUAGUAACUGGCCCUUUAUUUGACGGUAAUCAACCAGAAAGUCACGGCUAACUACGUGCCAGCAGCCGCGGUAAAUCGUAGGUGGCAAGCGUUGUCCGGAUUUAUUGGGCGUAAAGCGAGCGCAGGCGGAAGAAUAAGUCUGAUGUGAAAGCCCUCGGCUUAACCGAGGAAUUGCAUCGGAAACUGUUUUCUUGAGUGCAGAAGAGGAGAGUAGAACUCCAUGUGUAGCGGUGGAAUGCGUAGAUAUAUGGAAGAAUACCAGUGGCGAAGGCGGCUCUCUGGUCUGCAACUGACGCUGAGGCUCGAAAGCAUGGGUAGCGAACAGGAUUAGAUACCCUGGUAGUCCAUGCCGUAAACGAUGAGUGCUAAGUGUUGGGAGGCUUCCGCCUCUCAGUGCUGCAGCUAACGCAUUAAGCACUCCGCCUGGGGGAGUACGACCGCAAGG
rnacentral:rRNA from 1 species